AUGCACGGUUCCUGCGGUGUUUGGAGUCAUGGGUGGAUUGAUGAUUCUAAUGGAGCACGACAUGUCCGAUUGGUUCCUGUGAAAAGGAUUCUUUUGAGGGUCUCUUCAUCAAGCCCUAAUUUGCGAAUGUGUGGGGAAUGUGCACAUUUUCCUGGGUUCCUGGGGAGAGACAUGGAGUGCUCCCCUGCAUUCUCGGAGCUUCUGCAGAAUGCCCUGCUCUCGCAGUGGUGGUGGGGAGUAAGCAGAGGCUCUUUGGAACCUGGGAAAUGAAUGCCGUCCACAUGUCAGCGUGACUGGUGACCCUGCUUUCCUCCCACGGUGAACAUAGAGUUAUUCCUUCCAUGCUUGGAAGGACAAGUGCCCGCUAUGUCUUGCAAAGCAGACAAAAACUUUUGCGUUCCACCUUCUCCUACUUUCUCCUCUGUCCUUUCAGAUUCUCCUGGAGAUUUUAUCUUUAAAAUCCAGUUUUGUUUUGGGGCGCCUGGGUGGCUCAGUCAUUAAGCAUCUGCCUUGCGCUCAGGUCAUGAUCUCAGGGUCCUGGGUUCGAGCCCCACAUUAGGCUUCCUGCUCAGCAGGAAGCCUGCUUCUCCCUCUCCCACUCCCCCUGCUUGUGUUCCCUCUCUUGCUGUCUCUCUGUCAAAUAAA
rnacentral:lncRNA from 1 species